rnacentral:rRNA from 1 species
GACGAACGCUGGCGGCGUGCCUAAUACAUGCAAGUUGAGCGCAGGAAGCUGACGGAACUCUUCGGAGGGAAGGCAGUGGAAUGAGCGGCGGACGGGUGAGUAACACGUAAGGAACCUGCCUCAAGGAUUGGGAUAACUCCGAGAAAUCGGAGCUAAUACCGGAUAGUUCAACGGACCGCAUGGUCCGCUGAUGAAAGGCGCUCCGGCGUCACCUUGAGAUGGCCUUGCGGUGCAUUAGCUAGUUGGUGGGGUAACGGCUCACCAAGGCGACGGUGCAUAGCCGACCUGCGAGGGUGAUCGGCCACACUGGGACUGAGACACGGCCCAGACUCCUACGGGAGGCAGCAGUAGGGAAUCUUCCACAAUGGACGAAAGUCUGAUGGAGCAACGCCGCGUGAGUGAUGAAGGUUUUCGGAUCGUAAAACUCUGUUGUAAGGGAAGAACACGUACGAGAGGAAAUGCUCGUACCUUGACGGUACCUUACGAGAAAGCCACGGCUAACUACGUGCCAGCCGCCGCGGUAA